rnacentral:ncRNA from 1 species
AUAAGCAGUCAAAAUCAUAAAAAUUUAUAACAUGAUAAUGGCGUACCUUUUGCAUAAUGGGUCAGCAAGUUAAUAGGAGUAGCAAGGUUAAAAGCCUAAGCGAAAGCGACUAGGUCAUUUUUAAUAAGUGAAAUGGGUUAAGUUACUUCUAUUAGACCCGAAGCCAGGUGAUCUUUCCAAGACCAGAUUAUAAUGGAUCGAACGGUUGAAUGUUGCAUAAUUCUCCGAAGAGUUUUGGAAAGCGGUGAAAUGCCAAUCUGACCUGGUGAUAGCUGGUUUUCUACGAAACAUAUUUUAGUAUGACAUCUAUUCAAUAUUUAUGGAGGUACAGCACGGUAAUUCCAUACAAAUAUUAAAUUUAUUUUUAAUAGGAGUUUAAGUUGCGGGGACUUCGAAAAUCUUACCAAUGGAAAUAAAUCUCGGAAUUACAUAAAUAGAUGAUAGAUAUUCAGACUAUUCAUGAUAAGUUGGAUAGUCAAGACGGAAACAGCCGUGAACACAGAUUAAGGUCCCGAAUGAUUAUUAAGUGAAAUAAAGGAAGUGACAAAUCGAAUGCAGUUGAAAAGUGAGCCUGGUAGUCGCUACUUAUAAUGAACGUGUAUCAACGUAUCAGCCCUUAGAUUGUUGCCCCGAAGAUUUAACGGGUCUAAAAUAAUCAACCGAUAUCGUGUUAAUUUUAAAGAUAGAUUCUUAAUAAUAAUUAAUUUUUUAUUAUAUUUAUAUUUAAAAUUUAGGUAGUAGAACAUUCAGAUAAUUUAUAGAAAUAUAGACAAACUAUAGAAAUCCAAACCUAAAAUGAACAGUGUUACAUUGUUUAUAGGAAUCUGAAGAGAUAAUGCUGACAUGAGUAACGUAAAAAGAAAGUUUAAACUUUCUCGCCGAAUACGAAAGGGUUAUUAGCUAAAGAUUAAAUCUACUAAUGUUAAUGCGGUCUCUAAGGUACAAAACCAACGUUUUGGCUGAUGAGUUUAGCUUUGAAAGUCCACAUGGAGAAUAAAAUUUUACACAGAAUUUUUUUGUAA